AAGCAGAGUUGAAAUCGUCUCUGAAACGGCUGGAAAAGAGAGAAGCCUACCUAGCAAAAAUAUUCUUGGUGAUCACAGAAUGAUAAAUUACUACUGAAGAAAAGUGGAUGGAAGAAAGGUUGGGAUGGCAACCUGUUUGCUUUGCUAUCAGUGGUGGAGCUGCUGGUGAAAGAAUGUGCACUGCAUCUCAGGGAGCUGCUACCCAGGGCCAUGAUCCUUCAGUAGGACAACAGUUGUCUGGUUAGAAGAAUUUUUCUUUCCACUAUCUUCUCUGAAAAAGAGAGGGAAAUAUCUGCUUCCAUGUCAUCAUCCCAUCAACUCUGUCAUGCUGGUCCCCAAGCCUGGAUGAGAUAGGAAGAAGGUAGGCAUCAGACUUUGCGACAAGUUGGCUAAGAUUUCAAUGUUGCAUCAUUAUACAUUGAACCCCAAACAAGGCUUGAGAGACUGACAUGCAAGAUGCUGCAGACCAGAUGAUGUGGCAGGUGAAAUGCAAAAUUGCAGACACCACGAUAUGGCGGGAAGAA